AUGCUUGAAUGCUUUCAAACACAAAAUAACUCAUACAGACAGUAUAUUGUGUCCAUAUGCACUGCAAUCAUAAAUACCAUAAUGUAUCCCAAACACCAUCUAUGUGUGCAACCGUAUCCACAUAUCCCGAACAACGGAUAUUCCGACAUCCACAUAAUCAAACCCACUUAUAACAUCAACUAUUAA